rnacentral:rRNA from 1 species
GAUGAACGCUGGCGGCGUGCCUAACACAUGCAAGUCGAGCGAUCUUCUUCGGAAGAGAGCGGCGGACGGGUGGGUAACGCGUGGGUAACCUGCCCUGUACACACGGAUAACAUACCGAAAGGUAUGCUAAUACGGGAUAACAUAAGAAAUUCGCAUGUUUUUCUUAUCAAAGCUCCGGCGGUACAGGAUGGACCCGCGUCUGAUUAGCUAGUUGGUGAGGUAACGGCUCACCAAGGCGACGAUCAGUAGCCGACCUGAGAGGGUGAUCGGCCACAUUGGAACUGAGACACGGUCCAAACUCCUACGGGAGGCAGCAGUGGGGAAUAUUGCACAAUGGGCGAAAGCCUGAUGCAGCAACGCCGCGUGAGCGAUGAAGG